CCGCUUUGGCAGCACAUGUACCAAAAUUGGAAUGAUACAGAGAAGAUUAGCAUGGCCCCUGCGCAAGGAUGACCCGCAAGUUCAUGAAGUGUUGUGUAUAUAA